rnacentral:rRNA from 1 species
CCCCGGAAGAAUAAAAGUUCGUAAACAAAAGUUCCGUAAGUGACCCUUGGAAAGGAUCAUA